rnacentral:misc_RNA from 1 species
UACGAAGGGGGCUAGCGUUGCUCGGAAUCACUGGGCGUAAAGGGCGCGUAGGCGGACAUUUAAGUCGGGGGUGAAAGCCCGGGGCUCAACCCCGGAAUUGCCUCCGAUACUGGGUGUCUCGAGACCGGAAGAGGUAAGUGGAACUGCGAGUGUAGAGGUGAAAUUCGUAGAUAUUCGGAGGAACACCAGUGGCGAAGGCGGCUCACUGGCUCGAUACUGACGCUGAGGUGCGAAAGCGUGGGGAGCAAACAGG